rnacentral:rRNA from 1 species
AUUGAACGCUGGCGGCAUGCCUUACACAUGCAAGUCGAACGGCAGCGGGGACUUCGGUCCGCCGGCGAGUGGCGAACGGGUGAGUAAUGUAUCGGAACGUACCAUUGAGUGGGGGAUAACGUAGCGAAAGUUACGCUAAUACCGCAUAUUCUCUCCGGAGGAAAGCAAGGGACCGCAAGGCCUUGCGCUCUUUGAGCGGCCGAUAUCAGAUUAGCUAGUUGGUGAGGUAAAGGCUCAACAAGGCGACGAUCUGUAGCGGGUCUGAGAGGAUGGACCGCCACACUGGAACUGAGACACGGUCCAGGCUUCUACGGGAGGCAGGAGUGGGGAAUUUUGGACAAUGGGGGCAACCCUGAUCCAGCCCUGCCGCGUGAGUGAAGAAGGCCUUCGGGUUGUAAAGCUCUUUCGGCCGGGAAAAAAUCGCAUGGGCUAAUACCCUGUGUGGAUGAUGGUACCGGAAUAAGAAGCACCGGCUAACUACGUGCCAGCAGCCGCCGUAAAAC